rnacentral:misc_RNA from 1 species
GAUGAAGAACGCAGCGAAAUGCGAUACUUGGUGUGAAUUGCAGAAUCCCGUGAACCAUCGAGUCUUUGAACGCAAGUUGCGCCCGAAGCCAUUAGGCCGAGGGCACACCUGCCUGGGCGUCACACGUCGUUGCCCCCCCAUCUACUCCUUCGGGAUUGCGGGGGGCGGAUGAUGGCCUCUCGUGCGCCUCGUCGCGCGGUUGGCCUAAAUGCCAAGUCCUCGGCGACGCACGCCACGACAAUCGGUGGUUGCGAAACCUCGGUUGCCUGUCGUGUGCGGUCGUCGCGCAUCGAGGGCUCGAAAAAAUUGCCGGGCUUCGGCUCGACUUUCAACGCGACCCCAGGUCAGGCGGGGUUACCCGCUGAAUUUAAGCAUAUCAAUAAGCGGAGGA